rnacentral:rRNA from 1 species
GACGAACGCUGGCGGCGUGCUUAACACAUGCAAGUCGAACGGAAAGGCCUGCUUUCCCUUGUGGAUUGCGGGUACUCGAGUGGCGAACGGGUGAGUAACACGUGAGUGAUCUGCCCCCAACUUGGGUAUAAGCCUGGGAAACUGGGUCUAAUUCCCGAUAGGACUGCAGGGUGGUGCCUGUGGUGGAAAACGAUUUUCUAGUGGUUGGGGAUGAGCGCGCGGCCUAUCAGCUUGUUGGUGGGGUAAUGGCCUACCAAGGCGGCGACGGGUAGCCGGCCUGAGAGGGUGGACGGCCACAUUGGGACUGAGAUACGGCCCAGACUCCUGCGGGAGGCAGCAGUGGGGAAUAUUGCACAAUGGGCGGAAGCCUGAUGCAGCGACGCCGCGUGGGGGAUGACGGCCUUCGGGUUGUAAACUCCUUUCGACCGCGAGGAAGCCACCUGGUUGGAAGGGUGGUGACGGUAGUGGUAGAAGAAGCACCGGCUAACUACGUG